CAGAUGAGCCUUUACUGCCAACAGCACCUGCACUCCGAGGAGUUUAUUGCAGCCAAAAUCCAGGCUAAAGCGCAGCUCUGAUAAAUACAGCAGAUUUCAUGGAGAAACAACAACAACAGGCCACAGACUGUUAAUGAGAGGUCCAGAUCCAAGCACAGACACACAGAGCUCAGUAGCAGAAUGGUCAACAUACAUCAUUCUCUGUGGUGUAAUGGCUUCUUACUCCCGAGGGGACGCCACAGCGGAUGAUCCACAUGUCUAAUUUUGGCUGGGAUUUGUGCCCUUCAUGAUGCCACCCUCCCAUUUAUCAGGGCUUGGGACCAGCACUAGAAGUACACCUGUGGCUGAGUGUCCAGUUAACAAUGAGCAAUUGGGAUUGGCUAUCUUG